CAGCAGCCGCGGGAAUACAGAGGGUGCGGGCGUUAAUCGGAUUUACUGGGCGUAAAGCGUGCGUAGGCGGCUUUUUAAGUCGGAUGUGAAAUCCCCGAGCUUAACUUGGGAAUUGCAUUCGAUACUGGGAAGCUAGAGUAUGGGAGAGGAUGGUAGAAUUCCAGGUGUAGCGGUGAAAUGCGUAGAGAUCUGGAGGAAUACCGAUGGCGAAGGCAGCCAUCUGGCCUAAUACUGACGCUGAGGUACGAAAGCAUGGGGAGCAAACAGGAUUAGAUACCCCCGUAGUCCCUGUCUCUUAUAC
rnacentral:rRNA from 1 species